ensembl:processed_transcript Gm16127 predicted gene 16127
CUUUCUGGAAAACUUGGGUGUCUCAGCGCGCCCCGGGAAAAGGGGAGGCAGCCGCGGUUGGAGGUGAUGCGGGAGUUAGCCAUCCUGUAGGUGCCUCUGGCCAGGCACUAGGCUGUUAGUGAGGAGUCACUUAAAGACCGGCUCCCCAGAGAGUCCUAAAAGACCACCAAGAGCAGAAUGUACUCGAGACUCAUGGGAGCUACAACUUAACUUGAGGGUUUCAUUAACGACGCG